CUGGCCCAUUCUUUGCUGAAUGCUUGUUGAUGUGGAGAGCUAGUGCUAGACUUCUUUUCAUUUAACGUGUUGCAGGUGCUGCAUGGAGCAUGGGCCGUGAAUGUGGAGUGUGAGCUGCAGGUGCAAGGCGGCUGGACCGUUGAAGAGGUGUUGGACCUUGAAACCGGAUGGGAGCUGUCGUGCUUGAAAGCUGGACGNGUGCUAUUAAUACAUGGGCCUUGGUGUUUUGCUGCCUUCAUUGCUUUAAGAAGAAUUCACAUGCAGCUCUUUUCCACAUGCUUCACGUGCUGGACUACUGCAACUCUAAGCCCAACAUUAACUACUACAGCGCAUGGGUGUGUGCAUUCUGCUGGCCCAUGAGAGUGCCUCUUUGCCUUUUGCUGGCAGCUGGACUUUCUUGGCCAGACCGUGACAGUGUGGAGGGCAAUGGAUGCAUGAAUUCACGUGGGUCAUGAGCUGCUGAUGGGCCGUGUUAUCUUCGUGCAAAGCCAGAAAUAAACUUGGGUGCGUGAUGCGGCUGGACCAACUUUCUUCAUAUGUGUGUGGCUGUUGCAUCUUCUGGACUUGCUUCCUACAUUAUUGCUCAAACGAAUAAGCGUGUGUGUUGAAGGCUGCUGCUGGGUGCUAGAUGGAGAAAUGGAAGCAGUUGCUGGCCGUGUUGGUGGUGCUUCAAUUGAAUUUGCAACGUGCAGGUGGGUUGUAAAGAAGGCUGGACGUGAACGUUCUGGAUGGGAGCUGCUCUUCUUCACAAACAUGUAACCUGCUAUUAGCUGCAUGCACCCCCUCUCCAAGAAUUUAAUCAGCAUGGGCUGUGGCACCUGAUUAUCCAAUUGCAAUUUAAUUGCUGGACCAGCCCUUUUCUCUUUUCUUUUCUUUUUUUUUUCUUUUUUUUUUAUUCCAGCUCCCAAGUGAUUCAACUGUAUGUAUUUCUGGCCAGCCGUGUGCUCCUGAUUGUGGUCCGUGAGCUGCUAGACUUUUACAAUUAAAUUCCAUAUUCUCUUUAUUCAACCCAUUUUCCAUGUGCACCCCCAAAAAUGACAUUUGCAUCUCCUGUCUCAUAUUAGCUUAAAAUAAAAUUGAUGUGGCUUUUCUCUUUAAGUCCCAAAAUAUUAUCCAAGAAUUUUCCCUACAAUUAAUAAUGCAAAUAAUUAGUCUCAAAUAAUUCAAAUUAAUUAAAAUAAGUAUUUCUGAUGAAAUUAAGCACAAUUAGGAAAAACGGGAAAAUACCGGACAAUUAAGCACAAUUCCC
rnacentral:lncRNA from 1 species